CCAUCUCACCACAAACGACCUCCCCAAAAUCCAAAACAGGGAGGGUUACCCUCCCACAGCACUGUCUCAGCCACGACGGCAUCACCUAUCAACUCCAGUCUGAGAACGAACCAGGUUAGUGACAACAAACAAUUCACAGUACCCCAACAGCUAGUAGUCCCUAUCACAAUUGGCACCUGGAAGGGUAAAGCUAUUGUGGACACUGGAGCUAGCUAUACUCUUAUACAUGAGAGGUUAUGGAAGGCUCUUACACCCCAAGAUAGUCUCCAUCCAUGGACCUUAGGGCCUCUAUACCUAGCAAACGGCGAGGCUGAAGUUCCCCUUGGGUGGAUAAAUGUGCAGAUUACCCUGCAUAACGCAAAUAUUUCUAUGCAGGCUGUAGUCCUUACCUCCACAUCCCUGACUUAUGUAGCAGUGUUGGGAUUAGAUUUCAUUUUCCUGAGCGGCCUCCAACUUAAUGUUGCAGACAGGAAAUACUCCUUCAAAUGUGCUCCUGAGGAGGAAUACUACUUCCAACUGGGACAAGCAAGUAUACCUGCCAGUAGAGAUCCAUGCCAACGAAAACCAAAGAAAUCUAGGAGUUCCCAACAAAAUCUUUCGUUACUAAGUUCUGUUCCUCCUCCACAACCUCUACGGGCAUCUCGAGAUGCAGACCCUACCGCUACAGAGGAUCAAGUAUUAAUUGACAAUGCUGUAAAAGAAGCAAAUUUACCCCACAAUGAAGAAGUUCAGCUACACCACCUCUUGGAGUCCUAUCAGACGGUGUGUACUCGUCGACCCGGACGUACGACUGUUCUUCAGCACUGUCUGUACACUCGUCAUCCCGUACCCAGUAAACAACGGCCCUAUCGGCUCCCACCUGCAAAGCAAGCCAUAGUGAAGGACCAGAUUGAAGAAAUGCUAAAAGCUGGCAUCAUAGAACCCUCUUAUUCAGCAUGGGCAUCACCAGUUGUUUUAGUCCCCAAGAAAGAUGGAAGUCUCAGGUUCUGUGUUGACUAUAGAAAGGUCAAUGCUCUCACCGAGAGUGAUGCGUAUCCAAUUCCUAACAUCACAGAGAUCCUAGAGUCGCUUUCUGGUGCAGCCAUUUUUUCAACUUUAGACCUUAACUGUGGGUAUUGGCAGGUACCCCUGGAUCCUGAGAGCAAGUCAAAGACCGCCUUCAUCACCGCAGGGGGGUUGUACCAUUUCAAUGUCAUGCCUUUUGGUCUGAAGAAUGCCCCAGCAACCUUUCAAAGGCUGAUGGA
ensembl:lncRNA